AUGUGUUGUAUUAUACAGUUAAUCGAGUGGUGUGUAUGCAUGUUGAUGAGAAACUUCCAGCCCCUACACUUGAAGUAUUAGCGAAAAUAAGUGUGGAAAGUCAGGUCUGUGUUGAUGGUGUUUUAAUAAUAAAUAAGAUGAAGGGCUGAUUAUGAAAGCUGAUUAUGAAAGUCUAUGCAAGCUAAAGGGCUGUUUGGUUAAAAAGCUUAGGGGUUGGAGUUGUACAGUAUGAUGUCUAGAAGCAAAGGGGCUUAAGGUGUAUGUCCAGGAAAUUGUAACGAGUAUAAAAGACUUAUUGGUGUUCAGAUUACAAGUCUUUGAUUAGCUGUUGUGCACACUUCAACCUAAGUCACAUACUGAGUUGUGUAAGUGCUUGGUAAUGAAUUUGUUUAGAUAUUAAAACUGAGGGGAGAUGUUAAAAUGUACAUUUAUGAUCAGUUUUAAUAUCAUUAUAAUAUAAUGUAUGUUUAUGGUGUUUGUCACAUGUAUGUUGGACGAAUGGGCUAUGGAGCAUGGGCUGAAUGGAGUUGGGCUUUAUAAAGCAUGAAGAUAGGAAGAUGGGCUAAAAGAAGCAUGUUCGUGUGAAGAUGGGCUUGUCAGUUGAAGCCGGGUUAUUAUCAACCCGGAUAAAGUGUUAGUUGGAGCGAUAUUUAAGAGAAAGUCCAGAUGCUUCUCAAUUAUUCACCAAGAUAUUUUCUCUAUCUAGAGUCUGAAGAGAUAAUAGCUUUUAUGUUCGUUCCAGAAGAUAAGAAGACUUCUAGGGUUUUAUUCUGCUGUUCAUCCUUUCUUGCUCUUGUCUCCUUAUCGUUCUGCUGGCAAAUCAGAUAAGUUUAUGUGUAGUCGAUUAUCACUUACAUUCUUCUCUCUCAUUGUGUUAUUGCUCAGUCUGUUCGACCCAGCUGUUAGGGUUUGUAAUUGUGUAGUUGUUCUUGUGAAUCUCUCAGCUGUAUUGUGAGAGAUUUGUGUCUGUAUUUCUAUAGAUAAUCAUCUAUUGAUGAUUAUCGUUUGAUCUUUGGAUCUUGUAUUCUUCUGGUCUUACUGUUCUUGUAAGAUCUUGGGUAUUUUGGGGGUUUUUUCUGGUUUGGGUUAAUAAAAGUUUCUCCACGUUUUGUCGCUUAUUUUGUGUUAAUGUUGUUUCUU
rnacentral:lncRNA from 1 species